CAGCUUAACCACAGGAAGCCAGAUGAAUGGUGUGCUUCUCGGCUCAUUUAUGAACCCCAACAUCAGGCAACAAAGAUACCAGCAAUCCUCGGCUGAUAAUACCAGAGAGUUGCUUCUGUCUUGCCUGAAAGGAGCAUCAAGACCUCAGGGUCAGCAAUCAGUGCCUGGGACUUCAGCCCUAACACCCAGCUCUAACUCCACUUGAGGUAGAACCCACCUCUACUUCAACCAUAGCUCCAACUCUGGGGCAGCCAUCUGAGGAAUGAGCGCAAAUCAUGUGACCAUCUGAGGUAAGAACCAUACACCAAGGCUUCAACUCCAGCUGGAAAUCUCAGUCUGAGGUAGGGAGCAAGCCAGUAUUUCAGUCAUUUCUGGGGUUCUCCUACCCAGGGAGAGAACUUGCUUACAGUUCUUCCUCAACUUCUGCCCAUGGCCAUCUGAGAAAGGGGGCACACCAAAACUACAGCCCCAAAUCACUAUCCCAUGUACAGACUACAUGAAGACUUCAUCCUGAUCUCCAUCUCCAACUGAGGUAGGGACCAUACUUAGAUUUCCACCCCAGCAGCCCUGGUGACAUUGAGAUCUGGAUCCUUCAGGGACUUGUGACCAAACUGUGGGUCACCAUGUGAAGUACGCUGCCUGCUUAGGCUUCAGAGGUGGUAGACUGUGUGUGGGUCUUCACUCUCCGGAACUAGAGCAUGGAACCAAAGGAAU
rnacentral:lncRNA from 1 species